GAAACACAAGCUUGCUUUUUAUUUUUUGUCCUCAUAGGCUAUUACGACUAGUUUUUUAGUCUGAAAAGUUAUAUUUAUACUCUUCAACCACUCUUUAAUGGUCCUCAAUGGCUAGUAUUGAUUUUUCAAUAUUAGUUGAGCUUAUAAAGGCUUCCAAAAAGAGGGAAAAUACAUCAAGAAUCCAAAAGAAACUACUUCCAAAG
rnacentral:lncRNA from 1 species